GUUGUAUGGUUAAGUGACUAAGCGUACACGGUGGAUGCCUUGGCAGUCAGAGGCGAUGAAGGACGUAUUAACUUGCGAUAAGCCCAGAUUAGGUAGUAAAAACCAUUUGAGUCUGGGAUUUCCGAAUGGGGAAACCCACUUGCAUAAGCAAGUAUCCUGUUGUGAAUACAUAGCAACAGGAGGCGAACCGGGGGAACUGAAACAUCUAAGUACCCCGAGGAAAAGAAAUCAACCGAGAUUCCGAAAGUAGCGGCGAGCGAAAUUGGACUAGCCCUUAAGCUUUAUAUGCGUUAGACGAACGGUCUGGAAAGUCCGGCGAUACAGGGUGAUAGCCCCGUAGUUGACAACGCACAUUCAGUGAAAUCGAGUAGGGCGGGACACGUGAUAUCCUGUCUGAAUAUGGGGGGACCAUCCUCCAAGGCUAAAUACUACUGACUGACCGAUAGUGAACCAGUACCGUGAGGGAAAGGCGAAAAGAACCCCUGUGAGG
rnacentral:rRNA from 1 species